UCUACCCCCAUGGACUCAACCAAUGAAUCCUCCGGUUCUGCUGCCCGUGGCCGCCGUGGUCGCAAUCAGGGCGGUGAUAAAGAUAAUUCCGAUAAAGGAAAGGAGAAGGAGCAUGAAGUUAGGGUUAGGGACAGGGACAGGGACAGGGAUAGGGACAGAGAAGCGGCGGAGAGGGCAUUAGGCUUGAAUAUAGAUGGUGGGGGAGGUGGCGAUGACGAUGACAAUGACAGCGAAGGCGGUGCAGGAAUUUUGCAUCAGAAUUUCACCUCUGCUAGCAGUGCCCUCCAAGGGCUGCUUCGUAAACUAGGGGCUGGGUUGGAUGAUCUGCUGCCGUCUUCUGCGAUGGGCUCCGCGUCUUCCUCUCACCAGAGCGGCCGGUUGAAGAAGAUUUUGUCGGGGUUGAGGGCGGAUGGUGAAGAGGGAAGGCAGGUGGAGGCCUUGACACAGCUUUGUGAGAUGCUUUCCAUUGGUACUGAGGAGUCACUCAGUACAUUUUCAGUGGAUUCCUUCGUGCCGGUGCUCGUGGGUUUGCUCAAUCAUGAGAGCAAUCCCGAUAUUAUGCUUCUUGCGGCCCGGGCAUUGACCCAUUUAUGUGAUGUGCUGCCUUCUUCAUGUGCAGCAGUAGUGCAUUAUGGUGCAGUUUCAUGCUUCUGUGCUAGGUUACUCACAAUUGAGUAUAUGGACUUGGCUGAACAGGUGAAUAUAUCUUUCAGCAUGAAACAAAUACAAAACAAUUGUAAAUCAAAUAUUGAUGGACAGUUCCAAUAUUGCUAUUCUCCUUGUACUUGGAAUGCUGCAUUUGGUGAAUUACUUUAAGAUUUCUUUUUUUUUUUUUUUUGUGUUUGAUGUUUGAUUUUGCUUCCUUUGCCAAAUUUUAUUGCCAUAAUGAUGUCAAUGUUACAGAAAAUUUCCCAUUGCCUGCCUGCUUAUAGUAUUUAUGGUUUUUGUGAUGGAAACAGUCUUUGCAAGCUCUUAAGAAGAUAUCUCAGGAACACCCAACUGCCUGCUUGCGAGCUGGAGCACUCAUGGCAGUGCUUUCAUAUCUGGAUUUCUUCUCCACGGGGGUCCAGGUAAAUCGCCAUUAAAAUUUGUGUGUGUAUAUUCUUUUUAACCUUUUUGUUGAUUAUGCACGCUGAGGGAAGAAUACUGUUUUAUAUUUUGUGGGGUCAUCAAGUAAUUUAUCUCCUUUUACUAUUUGUUUCAGCGAGUGGCCUUGUCUACAGCUGCAAAUAUGUGCAAGAAACUCCCUUCAGAUGCAGCUGACUUUGUGAUGGAAGCUGUCCCUCUGUUGACGAACCUUCUGCAGUAUCAUGAUGCUAAGGUAAGUUUGUCAUUUUGUAGUUCUACUACGGAACUUAUGAUCCUGUUAUAGUUUUUGUUUCUUCCUCAUGUGUCUUUUCUUUCUUCUUUGUUGAUUUUUGGUUUCUAGGUGUUAGAACAUGCUUCUGUUUGCUUGACUCGAAUUGCUGAAGCAUUUGCUUCAUCUCCGGAUAAAUUGGAUGAACUAUGCAAUCAUGGACUAGUUGACCAAGCUGCCUCUCUCAUUUCCACCAGUAAUUCUGGGGGUGGGCAGGCAUCCCUUAGCACGCCGACGUACACGGUAGAUACAACUUUUAUUUUCAAAAUUCCACAUCAAAGGUUUUCUUCGGGCUCCAAAUGUGACUUGUAAGGCAUGCAGGGGUUAAUCCGACUUCUUUCUACAUGUGCAAGUGGGUCUCCUUUGGGAGCCAAAACUCUGCUUCUCCUAGGUAUCAGUGGCAUUCUUAAAGAUAUAUUAUCAGGUUCUGGCCUUGUUGCAAGCAUAUCUGUUUCACCUGCUAUAAGUCGACCGCCUGAGCAGGUACUUGCGCACUCUUCUUGCAUGUACUGCUGCUUCUAAAUGAUUGAAUAAAAAAUGGAGGAUAAAUUGUGCUGUUUAAAAUUCUAGUCGGUCCAUUUCAGUCAACCACGUUGCAAGUCUUUUGCUAUCACACCCAAUUCUUUUUAUUGAUACUUCUUGUCUUUAUUAUUUUUUGGAUAAAAUUUCCUUUAAAAUGUUUUUAAUCAGGUUUUUAUAGUUUUCGGUUAUUUUAUGUCUUAAAUGUUGAUGGAUAGCAGAUUUAGAUGAUGGCAUUGAACCUGAAAACACUUCUUUGUUGUGUGUGAAUUUUGGUUUUAAUUCCCCUCAGAUUUUUGAGAUCGUUAACCUUGCAAAUGAGCUGCUGCCUCCACUUCCAGAAGGAAUCAUUUCUCUUCCAGCUAGCUCCAAUCUUCUUGUUAAAGGGACUCUUGUGAAGAAGGC
rnacentral:lncRNA from 1 species